GCCAGGUGUGAUGUCAUGCACCUUAGUCCCAGCUAUUCUGGAGGCUGAGGCAGGAGGAUCGCUCGAGCCCAGGAGUUCUGGGCUGUAGUGUGCUAUGCCAAUUGUGUGUUCACACUCAGUUCAGCAUCAAUAUGGUGACUUCCUGGGAGCAAGGGACCACUAGGUUGCCUAAGGAGGGGUAAACCAGCCCAGGUCAGAAAUGGAACAGGUCAAAACUCCUGUGCUGAUUAGUAGUGGGAUCACACCUGUGAAUAGCCACUGCACUCCAGCCUGGGCAACUUCAUGAGAUCCCAUCUCU
ensembl:misc_RNA Metazoa_SRP Metazoan signal recognition particle RNA